rnacentral:rRNA from 1 species
CGGGUGAGGAACACGUGGAUAUCUACCUCCGGGUGGGGAAUACCGGCGAGAAAUCGCCGACAAGACCGCAUAGCCUUGGGCAACCAAGGAAAGCCCUCUUUCGAGGGGGUGCCGGGAGAUGAGUCUGCGUCCGAUUAUGCUGGUCGGUGAGGUAAUAGCUCACCGAGGCGACGAUCGGUAGCUGGUCUGAGAGGACGAUCAGCCACACUGGGAUUGAGAACGGCCCAG